CUUAAAGGAAUUGACGGGGCCCGCACAAGCGGUGGAGCAUUGUGGUUUAAUUCGAUGAUACGCGAGGAACCUUACCUGGGCUCAAAUGUAUGUUGACGUAUUCUGAAAGGGAUACUUCUUCGGACAAUAUACAAGGUGCUGCAUGGUUGUCGUCAGCUCGUGCCGUGAGGUGUCGGGUUAAGUCCCAUAACGAGCGCAACCCCUAUUGCCAGUUGCUAACAGGAGAGCUGAGCACUCUGGCGAGACUGCCGCCGACAAGGCGGAGGAAGGUGGGGAUGACGUCAAGUCAUCAUGGCCUUUAUGCCCAGGGCUACACACGUGCUACAAUGGCCGGCACAGACGGCAGCUUAGUGGCGACACUUGGCAAAUCCUCUAAAGCCGGUCCCAGUUCGGAUUGCAGUCUGCAACUCGACUGCAUGAAGCCGGAAUCGCUAGUAAUCGCAGAUCAGCCAAGCUGCGGUGAAUACGUUCCCGGGCCUU
rnacentral:rRNA from 1 species